GAUGAAGAACGCAGCGAAAUGCGAUACGUAAUGUGAAUUGCAAAUUCAGUGAAUCAUCGAGUCUUUGAACGCACAUUGCGCCCGCGAGUAUUCUCGCGGGCAUGCCUGUCCGAGCGUCAUUUCAACCCUCAGGGCCCGCCUGCUUCGGCAGGCGCGGCGCUGGUGUUGGGGAUCGGCCUAACCGCCGUCCCCCAAAUACAGUGGCGGUCUCGCUGCAGCCUCCCCUGCGUAGUAGCAACACUCGCAUGCGGAGCGCGGCGCGGCCACGCCGUAAAACCCCCGACUUUCUGAACGUUGACCUCGGAUCAGGUAGGAAUACCCGCUGAACUUAAGCAUAUCAAUAAGCGGAGG
rnacentral:misc_RNA from 1 species